AAUGGAGCCUUGCCAAAAAUGAUUAAAGUCCGAGAAAGCAUAACAGUUCCAGAGCUGCAGCCGUGCUUUAGGAGUCCUGAGUUUGACAUGGUGUCAAACAAACGCACUGGAUAGGAGAAGGAAGGGAGGAGAGUAAACAAGACCGGAAAAAAGAGAAGAGAGAUGAAUGCUGAUUUGGCUACUUGGGGAUCUAGUUUGUGAAGUUUCUCAGUGGAUCUGAGGACCACAGUGUUUGGAAACCACAGGUGUGGAUAGAGGAAAAGUAUUCAGAAAAGCCAAAGAAUUGAUGCUUUUGAACAGUGGUGCUGGAAAAGACUCUGGAGAGUCUCUUGGACUGCAAGAAGAUUCUAUCAGUCCAUCCUAAAGGAAAUCAGUCCUAAAUAUUCAUUGGAAGGACUGAUGCUGAAGCUGAAACUCCUGUACUUUGGCCACCUGAUGUAAAGAACUGACUCACUGGAAAAAACCCUGAUGCUGGGAAACACUGAAGGCAGGAGGAGAAGGGGACAACAGAGGAUGAGAUGGUUGGAUGGCAUCACUGACUCAAUGGAUAUCAGUUUGA
rnacentral:lncRNA from 1 species